AGAUAUGGUAGGAUCUCAUUUGUACGUCC
rnacentral:piRNA from 1 species